rnacentral:rRNA from 1 species
GAUGAACGCUGACAGAAUGCUUAACACAUGCAAGUCAACUUGAAUUUGGGUUUUUAACUUAGGUUUGGGUGGCGGACGGGUGAGUAACGCGUAAAGAACUUGCCUCACAGCUAGGGACAACAUUUGGAAACGAAUGCUAAUACCUAAUAUUAUGAUAAUAGGGCAUCCUAUAAUUAUGAAAGCUAUCAGCGCUGUGAGAGAGCUUGCGUCCCAUUAGCUAGUUGGAGAGGUAACGGCUCACCAAGGCGAUGAUGGGUAGCCGGCCUGAGAGGGUGAUCGGCCACAAGGGGACUGAGACACGGCCCUUACUCCUACGGGAGGCAGCAGUGGGGAAUAUUGGACAAUGGACCAAGAGUCUGAUCCAGCAAUUCUGUGUGCACGAUGAAGUUUUUCGGAAUGUAAAGUGCUUUCAGUUGGGAAGAAAGAAAUGACGGUACCAACAGAAGAAGUGACGGCUAAAUACGUGCCAGCAGCCGCGGUAAUACGUAUGUCACGAGCGUUAUCCGGAUUUAUUGGGCGUAAAGCGCGUCUAGGUGGUUAUGUAAGUCUGAUGUGAAAAUGCAGGGCUCAACUCUGUAUUGCGUUGGAAACUGUAUAACUAGAGUACUGGAGAGGUAAGCGGAACUACAAGUGUAGAGGUGAAAUUCGUAGAUAUUUGUAGGAAUGCCGAUGGGGAAGCCAGCUUACUGGACAGAUACUGACGCUGAAGCGCGAAAGCGUGGGUAGCAAACAGG